CUAACCCUAAUUGAAUCCACAUCUUCCCUUCCCUAACGGCAAACCCUAGCUGCACACACAACACACACACCAUACCAUAGUAGCAGCAGCAGCCGCAAACCCCCUUUUCUCCCAAAACGUAGACACACACAAAAAAAAGGGGAGGAGGGCUUCUGAGAGAGCUGAGGGGAAGAGAGGGAGCUUCACCAGCGCCGUCAUCACUGGCAUCUCACUACCGUCGCUGGGGAGACUGCACGCCUUCGAGGUUCCUGCCGCCGCCUUGGAGUCCGCCGUCAGGUCGAGUCGAAGAAAGAGAGAGGCGCGGGGUCAGUGUCACGACCAGAGGCAAGAUCUGAGAGAGAAGGAAGAGAAGGCCGUGCUCCUGCCACAGUCCACCACGUCUUGCCUGCGCCGUCAUUCACGCUCAUCGCCGUCCAGCCGUCGGCGCGAGCUUGUUGCCGUCGGGGAGGAGUUGGUGUCGCAGGCGAGAGGGAGAGAACAGUGCGGGAGGAAGAGAACGCGAUGGAAGAGAGGGAUCUUGUCACCGUCAGUCUAUGGCUGCCACUGCUAGGACUUGUCGCGAAGCCAUGAUCGUGGCUGAGCUACCGCCGUCGCUGUGAAGACUCCGCCGCUUCCUUUGUUGAUGUUGGGGAGAAAAACACCGGAAUGGGUGAGUAGGAGGAGGGGUUCUGCCACCGUUGGAGCUCCGUUGUUGUUGCUGUUAUGGCCACCGUGCCUCUGGCUGCCGGGAGCGGUAUUGUGGCUGCCGGAACCCCUGUCUUCUGGGUUGACUUCCGAUAUUGUGCGUCGAAAUUUAGGUUGCUGUUGAGCCACUGGAGCUUCCGGCCGCUACCGGAGCUGUUGCUGGGUCAGUUCGGAAUUGCAACUGCUUCAUUUUGUUAUUUCGAGUCGGUGUGGUUGUUGAGAAAGCGGUUUGGGAGCUGAGGUUGUGACUAUCACCAUUGCGGGCCAAGAGAGAAGGAGUUGUGGCGCGUUUUUGAGUUUUCAAGUUUCGACAAUCGAGGAUAUGGACGCAGAAGUCACGAAGAGUUUAUCUAGUUGUUGUCAUGAUAUUUUGUAUUGCUUUGGUUAUUGCUUAUUGUUCCCUCGCCUUUAUCUUUAUACAUUCUGUAAGAGGGAUAGGAAUUUUAUUGGUUAAUGUUUGUAAAGUUAUGUAAUAUAUAUAUACAUAUGUAUGUGCUCUUUGUGAGUUUUUGUAAGUUGUAUUGUAUAUAUGGAUGUAUGUUGCAUAGUAGAAGUAUUUGGAGUUGUAUUUCGGUUUAAAGUUUUAAACAGGCUCAUAUUUUAGUAUUAAAUAGUAUAAGAAUCGUCGUAAUGUCCGAGCUAUCAAAGUCGCGCAGCCGGAAGCAUGUGCUUUGGUAGUUAGGGUGUUACAAGUGUACCUGAUAUGAGAAUUCUCUUUGCAAUUUCCAGUGAGAAUCAAGUGGCCUUUGCAAGAACAUGCUAAGUAGGAGGUCAACCAACCUCCAUGUAUAGUUCUUCAUUAUCAAAGCUACAUAUUCCUCUUCAAUAUCUACUUUCCAAUGGGAUCUAGCCAAAACCUUUGCAACUAUUUUUGUAGCUUUAUGUGUUAGCUCAGUUGAGUUUGAGGUUGUUGCAGUAAAGGUUUUUGUCUUAAAAAUACAACUCUUGCUUCUAGUCUGCACAUAGCAUGUUGUUUUCAAAAGUUAAAAGUGGUUAGUGGUGCCUUCUUGUGAUAUCAAUAUGUAAGUGUUAGCAAAAUUAACAAUAUUUAAGGUGGUUGGUAUUCUUGGCCUGAUAACAACCUGCAGCAAUGACACUACUUCAACUGAACAUGGAUUCAUAACUUCAUUAGUAACAAAGGUAACAGAUGCAAAAAACAAUGAAUUUGAUAUAACAUUGGUAAUAUUGGAAGAUGAAUCAUGCAUAUCUAUCGAUGCAUGACAGAGGAAAAA